rnacentral:rRNA from 1 species
UACGUAGGUGGCAAGCGUUGUCCGGAUUUACUGGGCGUAAAGAGCGCGCAGGCGGCCGAGUAAGUCGAAUGUGAAAGCCCCCGGCUCAACUGGGGAGGGUCACGCGAUACUGCUCGACUCGAAGGCAGGAGAGGGAAGUGGAAUUCCCGGUGUAGUGGUGAAAUGCGUAGAUAUCGGGAGGAACACCAGUGGCGAAGGCGACUUCCUGGCCUGUUCUUGACGCUGAGGCGCGAAAGCUAGGGUAGCAAACGGG